rnacentral:lncRNA from 1 species
GCAUUGGGAGAGUGUAAGUGGGAUUUUGCACAGAGAGGAAAUGGAAUGUUGAGUGACAACUAAGGACAGUUAGAAAUAAGGUUGAAGAGCAAAGUCUGUUGGGGAAAAAAAAGUGUCUCAGGGGAAGAGUUGUUCCUGGACCCUGGACUGAACAGAGAUCCUUCUGGCACCUCAGGAUUGAAUCCCAACCAUUCUUGAGGAUUUCCCAACCUUUCCCUUUGAUCACAAGGCUUGUGGAUUGUAUCUGUUGCUUGUGGACAGCAAAGUAUUAAAUGGAUUGGCUGAACUUUUAGUAUCCUGAGAGGUUUAGUCCAGAAAGUGACAUCUUGAUACUCAUCAUUGAUUCAUUCAAAAAGGAGGUCAGGUAUCCAAGAAGGUCAGGUACCAAGUGAAAUUUUCCUAUGACAAGAUCUAUAAUGUAUGGAAGUUUUCAGUUGCCCCCAACCAAGUCAACCAAGAGAAAGCAGUCAAAAAUUAUCAUGAAAGGACUAACAAGGUUGCUGCAUCUGAAGUUAGAAGGAAAGCUUGGCUCUGCUCCAUACCACCUGUGUGACCUCAGGCAAGUCACUUAAUGUCUGUGGGCCUCCCUUUUCUCAUGAGUAAAAUGCAGAGUUUCUACUAAUAACCUGUAACUUCUCUUCAAAGCUUUAAAGUAAUGAUGCUAUGAUCCUUUUUUAUUUAUUGAGGGUGGAUUUUAGUAUAAGAAUUAACUUCCAUUUCAUUUUCAUCUAUGAGUUUUCAUAAUUAAGUCACAACUGCUUAGGAUACAUUAUUCUGAUGCCUCUAUAAUAAAUAUUAUUUCAAUGACCUGAGUAAUCUUUAAACUAAUCUACUUUAAAAGUUUUAUAUAUUUAGGCAUACAUAUGUAUGUGUAUUAUAUGUGUAUAUGCAUAAUUACAAUUGUAUGUAAAUUUUAUGGAAUUAUAUGUAGAACUAAAGAAAAUCUUUGUUGUUGUACUCUAGGUUUUUAUGUGACAGUUCUGAUGUAUGUAUUAAUGCUGAGAAUUCCCAUUCCUAUUACAUACUCAAAUCAGCUGAGGAAAACUUAAAAAGUUAUUUGUGCAGGUUUUCCUCCCACUUCUGCUGCCUUGAAUUUGAAGAAACAAUAUAUGGACAUUGGAAACAUCAUUACAUUCAAAAAGACCUGAAACACCAAAGAAGGAUCAAACUCGGUAAUUCAUUAAUUUCCUAAUCAAGACAAGCUUCUUUUUGCCACAGUACCCUUUAAAUGAGAAAAUAAAAAAUCUUAGCCAAGUAAAGUUUUAUUUGAC